UGUUUGCCAUGAUGAUUCCUACAAGGACGGUAUCUGAGUACGGAACCUCUUGAAAGAGUGCUCCUCACAUGAUUACUUCCAAAACUGAUCAGAGAUUCUGAGCAAACA
rfam:Oryza brachyantha chromosome 2, whole genome shotgun sequence.